GCGGACGAGUGAGUAACGCGUGGAGAACCUGCCGUAUACUGGGGGAUAACACUUAGAAAUAGGUGCUAAUACCGCAUAAGCGCACAGCUUCGCAUGAAGCAGUGUGAAAAACUCCAGUGGUAUACGAUGGAUCCGCGUCUGAUUAGCUUGUUGGCGGGGUAAAGGCCCACCAAGGCGACGAUCAGUAGCCGGCCUGAGAGGGUGAACGGCCACAUUGGGACUGAGACACGGCCCAAACUCCUACGGGAGGCAGCAGUGGGGAAUAUUGCACAAUGGGGGAAACCCUGAUGCAGCGACGCCGCGUGAGUGAAGAAGUAUUUCGGUACGUAAAGCUCUAUCAGCAGGGAAGAAAUAAAGUCCUUCGGACUUUGGACGGUACCUGACUAAGAAGCCCCGGCUAACUACGUGCCAGCAGCCGCGGUAAUACGUAGGGGGCAAGCGUUAUCCGGAUUUACUGGGUGUAAAGGGAGCGUAGACGGCAGCGCAAGUCUGGAGUGAAAUCCCAUGGCUUAACCAUGGAACUGCUUUGGAAACUGUGCAGCUGGAGUGCAGGAGAGGUAAGCGGAAUUCCUAGUGUAGCGGUGAAAUGCGUAGAUAUUAGGAGGAACACCAGUGGCGAAGGCGGCUUACUGGACUGUAACUGACGUUGAGGCUCGAAAGCGUGGGGAGCAAACAGGAUUAGAUACCCUGGUAGUCCACGCUGUAAACGAUGAUUACUAGGUGUUGGGGGACCAAGGUCCUUCGGUGCCGUCGCAAACGCAUUAAGUAAUCCAC
rnacentral:rRNA from 1 species